rnacentral:lncRNA from 1 species
AUGGACUGUGCUGAGCUUCCGCUGAAUAUAGUCACCACAGACGAGGAAAACCAAGAGAGUGAUCUCAGAUACAGACCACAUGGGUUGGAGUCCUCCAAGACUCAGAACCAUGACAAUUCUGCAGAAUACUGCAAGGCUCAUUUACACCUGACUGCAGUAUUCCAGAUCCAUCAGAUUGCUAGAAGCCUGAAGCAGGAUGGCCCUGGAUGCACUGAGUAGGCAGCAACAGGAAAUGACAACCAGGAUGGUUUUCCCUUUCCCUAAAUGUUUCUAGUUCUUUUUGUAACACCUAUGUACAGCAUGGUAAAUUUGAACAGGACAUGAUGUAUAUAGGGGAAAACAGCUCUAAUAAAAGUGCUGCUCUUGCAGCUCA